UAGUCCACGCCCUAAACGAUGUACACUAGUUGUUGCUAUGCUAGACAUAGCAGUAAUGCAGUUAACACAUUAAGUGUACCGCCUGGGGAGUACGGUCGCAAGAUUAAAACUCAAAGGAAUAGACGGGGACCCGCACAAGCGGUGGAGCAUGUGGUUUAAUUCGACGAUACGCGAAGAACCUUACCUGGUCUUGACAUAAGAAGAACACCCUAGAGAUAGAGUAGUGCUAGCUUGCUAGAACUUCUAUACAGGUGCUGCACGGCUGUCGUCAGCUCGUGUCGUGAGAUGUUGGGUUAAGUCCCGCAACGAGCGCAACCCUCGUGUUUAGUUACUAACAGUUCGGCUGAGGACUCUAGACAGACUGCCUUCGCAAGGAGGAGGAAGGUGAGGACGACGUCAAGUCAUCAUGGCCCUUACGACCAGGGCUACACACGUGCUACAAUGGGGCAUACAAAGAGCAGCAAUACGGUGACGUGGAGCAAAUCUA
rnacentral:rRNA from 1 species